ACUUGUCUUUUAAAUAAAGACUAGUAUGAAUGGCAAGACGAAAGUUUAACUGUCUCCUUUGUCUAGUCAAUGAAAUUGAUCUCCUGGUACAAAAGCCAGGAUAAUAUAAUUAGACGAGAAGACCCUAUGGAACUUAAAACACGCAUCCACCCAUACUAGCUUAUAAAACAUCUGAUACAUUGGACCACUGUUUUUGGUUGGGGCAACCACGGAGAAAAAUAAUCCUCCUAGAGACUAAAAUUAAGUAAUACAACACAAAAUUCCAAUAUCAUGGAUAUGACCCAUAUACAUGAUCAACGAACCAAGCUACCCUAGGGAUAACAGCGCUAUCUUCUCCAAGAGUCCAUAUCCACGAGAAG
rnacentral:rRNA from 1 species